rnacentral:lncRNA from 1 species
CUACUCGUAAGAAAAAAAUGAAAUUACUUUCUGAACAACCUUAUACAUUGGAGGAUCUAAGUUUAUGGAUCCAAUAUCUGCAAUUUUUCAGGUGGAAUCUGUAUCUGUCCUGUUGAAUGCUAUUCUUCAGUAUUCCAAUUAUCCCAAUCCUUAAGUAUCCAUUUAACCCCAUCAUGGGUGAUGGUCUGCCUAGAAUGGGUUCUAAAAGUGGCUGCUACAAAAAAUAUUCUUUGCAAGAUUCAGUGAUACAAUUACAGAUUAGGUUAGUUUUAGUUAUCUAUUUGAUACAGUUCAAAGAAAUAACAUUGCAAGAGGAUUGUAUUGUUAUAGUGAUUGCAAGAGAAUAUACAAAAAUAAAAAAAUAUAAUGGAGUGUUUAUUAACUAUGCAAAAAUUAGGGAAGGAGAU